GUAGUAAACACAAUAAGCACUCCGCGUGGGGAGUACGGUCGCAAGACUGAAAUUCAAAGGAAUUGACGGGGGCCCGCACAAGCGGUGGAGUAUGUGGUUUUAAUUGGACGCAACGGGAAGAACCUUACCAGGGCUUGACAUCCUACGAAACUUAUAGAGAUAUAAGCCUCAUCCUUCGGGAUGANGUAGAGACAGGUGGUGCAUGGUUGUCGUCAGCUCGUGUCGUGAGAUGUUGGGUUAAGUCCCGCAACGAGCGCAACCCCUAACAUUAGUUGCCCAGCAUGUAAAGAUGGGAACUNUAAUGUGACUGCCGUUGACAAAACGGAGGAAGGUGGGGAUGACGUCAAAUCAUCAUGCCCCUUAUGUCGUGGGCUACACACGUACUACAAUGGCCGGUACAGACGGAAGCGAAGCUGUGAAGCGGAGCAAACCUGAGAAAGCCGGUCCCAGUUCGGAUUGUAGUCUGCAACUCGACUACAUGAAGUCGGAAUCGCUAGUAAUCGCAGGUCAGCAUACUGCGGUGAAUACGUUCCCGG
rnacentral:rRNA from 1 species